rnacentral:lncRNA from 1 species
UAUGGUUUGUUUUGUGUGUUGUUUGCAAUAAAUUAAGGUUUGGUUUUAAUUAAUCUUUGUUUUGAUGCUCACAUGUUUUUAAUAAAUAGUCAUAUUAUUUAAUUCUUUUUUUAUUUAAUGAAAAGGAAACAAUACAACAAAUUAAAGGAUAAUACAACAAUACAACAUAUGGCAAAGGUGUUUCAAUACAACCUAAUGGUUUUCAUCAUUUAACCAAUCCGUAUUGCUAGGUCCGUCGUCAUGGAAAAGUUUUCUUCUCAUCACAUCUCUUCGUCUAUGCUUCCAAUAGCCUUUGUUUCAGGAGACAUAUGGCUCGUAUCCAUGGCCAUGAUUUUCCUCUCUAUCAUCCAUGUCUUUUUCUUGUGCAUGCUGCUGUUGAAUUGCAAAUGUUUCCUCUCGUGCCUUGUCCACUUCAUCUCUUUUCAAGUCUCUCUCAAUUCUUAGUUAGGUAUUCUUAGCUAUUUGCUCCAAUAAUUGUAUACAUUCAUUAUUCGAAGUGCCCCCUCUCUUGGCCUUUGCCGCCUUUCUCCCAAUCGGUCUCGGCGGACGUGGGAGUGGUGACUCCGUUUCCAUUGGGGAGUCCAAUGGCGAAUCGGUUGAUGGUGAAUCGUGGAGCGGCGUCUCAUUCAACACAACCGAAGGACCGGUGGGAAUAAUUUUGAAUCUCGAACAAUCCUUCACAACUUCCCAAUAUUGAAAAUGCACGAAACUUUUUUUGCCUUACCCCAUGGCACCGAAUCACAUUUGUGCUUGUAUGAUCUAUUAUAAAUAAAUAAUUGAAAGUGCAAGAAAAAAAAAUUAUUAUGCAAGAAAAUUAAACUAAUUUGAAAUGCAACAAUAAAAUUGAUUAUGCAAGAAAAUAUAGACAAAUUGGACAUGCAAAAAGAAAAAAAAAAUUAUGCAAGAAAAAGAAAUAGAAUAUGCCCAAAAAAAAAAAGUUACAUUAAAUUGAUGAAAAUGGUAUUAUAAAUAUUUUACCUCAUCGGAUAGAUUUUGACCGCUUCGAAUGUUCUCCCUUGCUUUUGUCAAGGCAUUUCUCCAUUUGCCUAACUCUUUAUUCAGAAGUUUCCAUCUACUAGACAACGCCAUUUCGGUCCGAAUGGAACCCGAUCUUUGACAAAAUUCUCUAUGAAUUUUGCUCCACAUAUGAUGGAACUUCAUCUCAUUGCCCGUGAUGGGGUCAUGACUAACGUUCACCCAAGACUGACACAACGCAAUAUCUUCUUGAGUUGACCACG